rnacentral:rRNA from 1 species
UGGCGACCGGCGCACGGGUGAGUAACACGUAUGCAACCUGGCCGUGACAGAUGGAUAACCGGGAGAAAUCCCGCCUAAUACAACAUAAUGCCGGGAGGGGACAUCCCCUGCCGGCCAAAGGGGCGACCCCGGUCACGGAUGGGCAUGCGGCGCAUUAGGUAGUUGGUGGGGCAACGGCCCACCAAGCCGACGAUGCGUAGGGGUUCUGAGAGGAAGGUCCCCCACAUUGGAACUGAGACACGGUCCAAACUCCUACGGAAGGCAGCAG